GACGAACGCUGGCGGCGUGCCUAAUACAUGCAAGUUGAGCGCUGAAGGUUGGUACUUGUACCAACUGGGUGAGCAGCGAACGGGUGAGUAACGCGUGGGGAAUCUGCCUUUGAGCGGGGGACAACAUUUGGAAACGAAUGCUAAUACCGCAUAAAAACUUUAAACACAAGUUUUAAGUUUGAAAGAUGCAAUUGCAUCACUCAAAGAUGAUCCCGCGUUGUAUUAGCUAGUUGGUGAGGUAAAGGCCCACCAAGGCGAUGAUACAUAGCCGACCUGAGAGGGUGUUCGCCCACAUGGGAACGGGGCACCGCCCAAACCCCCUACGGGGGCAGGCGGAGGGAAUCCUCCGGCAAUGACGGAAGUCUUAACGGGGCACGCCCCGUUAGGUGAGGAGGGUUUCGGAUCGUAAAACUCUGUUGGUAGAGAAGAACGUUGGUGAGAGUGGAAAGCUCAUCAAGUGACGGUAACUACCCAGAAAGGGACGGCUAACUACGUG
rnacentral:rRNA from 1 species